UCCGGUUGAUCCUGCCGGACCCGACUGCUAUUUGGGUGAGGAUAAGCCAUGCGAGUCGAAUGGGAUACCUAAAUUUCCCAUGGCAAACUGCUCAUUAACACAUGAUCAACUUACCCUAUAGAGAAAAAUAACCUCGGGAAACUGAGGAUAAUAUUUCGUAGUUGAAUAGGCUUGGAAAAGUUUUUCAAUAAAAGGGAUAAAAAAAAUGGUUUUUAUCUGCUAUAGGAUAGGAUCGUGGACGAUUAUGGUUGUUGGUGAGGUAACGGCUCACCAAGCCGAUAAUCGAUAGGGGCCGUGAGAGCGGGAGCCCCGAGAUGGGUACUGAGACAACGACCCAGGCCUUACGAGGCGCAGCAGGCGCGGAACCUCCGCAAUACACGAAAGUGUGACGGGGUUACCCAAAGUGUUCAAUUCUGAACUGUGGUAGGUGAGUAAUGUUCCCUACUAGAAAGGAGAGGGCAAGGCUGGUGCCAGCCGCCGCGGUAAAACCAGCUCUUCAAGUGGUCGGGAUAAUUAUUGGGCUUAAAGUGUCCGUAGCCGGUUUAGUAAGUUCCUGGUAAAAUCGGGUAGCUUAACUAUCUGUAUGCUAGGAAUACUGCUAUACUAGAGGGCGGGAGAGGUCUGAGGUACUACAGGGGUAGGGGUGAAAUCUUAUAAUCCUUGUAGGACCACCAGUGGCGAAGGCGUCAGACUGGAACGCGCCUGACGGUGAGGGACGAAAGCCAGGGGAGCAAACCGGAUUAGAUACCCCGGUAGUCC
rnacentral:rRNA from 1 species